CAGGCGGCCCGGGCCGGGAUCAAUGCGCCGCUUUCGUCCAGCGCGGGGCGGCUGUUCGAUGCGGUCGCCGCCUGUC
rnacentral:tRNA from 1 species